AAGUACUGUCUAUCAUCAGAUGAAGCUUCCGACAAAGAUGAUCCAUAUGCAGAUCCAGAAUUUACAGAUGACGAAUAUAUACCAGAUGAAUCUACGCCUAGUACAGGACGGACAAUAACUCCAAUAUCGUUUGAGCCUCUUUGUACCAGAGUAAACAAACAAACAGUUAGGCGCAGAUUAUUUACCAAAGAAGAUAAAACAUGUUUAGACAGCGGAUUUGUUGGAGAACGACCACAGAUGAACCGAAUUAAAAAAGCUUGCAGUAA